UACGUAGGGCGCAAGCGUUAUCCGGAAUUAUUGGGCGUAAAGAGCUCGUAGGCGGUUUUGUCGCGUCUGCCGUGAAAGUCCGGGCUCAACUCCGGAUCUGCGGUGGGUACGGGCAGACUAGAGUGAUGUAGGGGAGACUGGAAUUCCUGGUGUAGCGGUGAAAUGCGCAGAUAUCAGGAGGAACACCGAUGGCGAAGGCAGGUCUCUGGGCAUUAACUGACGCUGAGGAGCGAAAGCAUGGGGAGCGAACAGG
rnacentral:rRNA from 1 species